AUUGAACGCUGGCGGCAUGCCUUACACAUGCAAGUCGAACGGCAGCGCGGGGCAACCUGGCGGCGAGUGGCGAACGGGUGAGUAAUAUAUCGGAACGUACCCUGGAGUGGGGGAUAACGUAGCGAAAGUUACGCUAAUACCGCAUAUGAUCUAUGGAUGAAAGCAGGGGACCGCAAGGCCUUGUGCUCCUGGAGCGGCCGAUAUCUGAUUAGCUAGUUGGUGGGGUAAAGGCCUACCAAGGCAUCGAUCAGUAGCUGGUCUGAGAGGACGACCAGCCACACUGGAACUGAGACACGGUCCAGACUCCUACGGGAGGCAGCAGUGGGGAAGUUUUGGACAAUGGGCGGCAAGCCUGAUCCAGCAAUGCCGCGUGAGUGAAGAAGGCCU
rnacentral:rRNA from 1 species